GGGGAGAGGACCUGACGUUUAGGUUCAGGCAAUACCAGGUUCAAGAACGGAGCAAACAUCCAGGCCAGACUUUUCCCAGGACUUGAGUUACGGAAAUAUUCCUGGGGAAUUAACCCCAUUCUUCGCCGAGGGAGGAGACGAGAGGAAGUCACAACCCCCUAGCAGACCUGACCCCACCAGUCCGGCUUCUGGCAGGCCGCUUACCUGCUGGGCACAAAGCCUGGGGUGGGGGGAGCAGUUUGCUCUCCUUCCCCAGGUUAUUCCAGCGAUAUAUUCAUAUUUCCUCUCUCACUGUCUCCAACUCCCCCCAUCCCCCAGACCUGAGCCCUGCCAAUCCCUGGACAUAAAUAAAUAUAAUCACUUCCCUCUGCGCUGAGUGCUGGGGGGAGGGGGGGUCCCCGCCCAGCCCUGGCCUCCUCCCAAAGUAAACUGUUACUUCCAGGACAGGGGCCCAAGGGCUGCCCCACUUGACUCUUCCCGGCCUUUGGUAGCUGGGCAAACAGAAGCGUAUAUCCAGGAGUGUUCUCACGAGCAGUCUUUGAUUGAGUUAGCGCUCAGACCGGGGUGAGUGCUCACUGCUCCUGGAGCCCUGGGUGGGUCUAAGAGCUGCUGCGACUCUCAGCGCUGCUUUCCCACCUGCAUGAGGCACCCACGGGUGUCCCAUUGUUCCUCACCCAGGGUCAGGGUCAGGGUCAGGGUGCUUAGCACGGAUUCUGUCAGAGCAAACCCUCCAUUACUUGUGGGAGGAAGGACGUGAGGGAAGAAGAGAGAAGGAGGGAGGAAAAAGGUCACAACCUCACAGACCCUCUCCCACCACAUCUUGGCACGAUGUUCCCACUUCCCCCCUCUAAGGCACCUGGGUGGCUACCUGGGGACUCCUCUCUCCUAGCUUACUGGUUGUGCAUGCUCCCUGCAUCGCAGCACUAUUCCCAACAGCCAAGAGGUGGAAACUACCCAAGUGUCCAUCCACCGAUGCAUGGAUAGACAAAACGUGGCACAUACAUACAAUGGAAUAUUAUUCUGAAGGGAAUUCUGACACAGGCUACAACAUGGAUGAACCCUGGGAACGUUAUGCUAAGUGGAACACGCCGGCACAGAGAGACAAGCACUGCAGGAUUCCACUUACGUGGGGUACCUAGAGUAGUCAAAUUCAGAGAAACAGAAAGUAGAAUGGUGGUUACCAGAAGCUAAGGGAGGUAAAAGGGGUGAACUGUUACUAAACGGGUACAAAGUCUCAGAUUUACAAGAGGAAAAGGUUCCAGAGAUCUGUUUCACAACAAUGUGAAUACCUCACACUGCUGAACUAUAUACUGAACUAAGAUAGUAAAUGCUAUGUUAGGUAUUUUUUACCACAAUUUAAAAAAGAACAGUUAUUGGAUGGGGAAAUCAACCAACACCACCGAACUCCACACGGAUGAAGUCACCAGGGAGGUCCUCCAAGCCUCUGAAAAGCCAAGGCAGCAAAACGUCACAAGAGGGAGGCGGGGGGAGGUUGACGAGGGUGGGCGGGCCCAAGGCUCACAGCUCUGUGGAUGGGCUCCCGGUGCCUAUGCCGGGCCACGGCUAAGACCACCACUCCGUUCUGGUCUGGGCCACAUGGCACAACAUGAGGAAGGAGAUGUCGAAGAGCAAGGCGCGAACGGAGGCUGCUUUGGCUACGGAGAACAAGACGGCUGACCCCACAGCCCCAAACAGGGCCCAGAGCCCUCAGCUGAAUCAGGAGGGGAUCAGGAUUUGCCUCAAGGAAGACCUGCCUCCACGACCCCGGACAGGGGCCCAGCCUGCCCUUACUUGAUGAAUUUCCGGGCGAAGGAUUUAAGCUUCCCAGUGGCAGCAGCGGCAGCCAGCAGCAGAUCCAGACUCUUCCCGGACAGCAUGUGGCCC